rnacentral:rRNA from 1 species
AUACGAAAGGCGCAAGCGUUGUUCGGAUUUACUGGGCGUAAAGAGAGUGUAGGUGGUUUAUUAAGUCGGAUGUGAAAUCCCGGGGCUCAACCUCGGAACUGCAUUCGAUACUGAUAGGCUAGAGUUUGGGAGGGGUAAGCGGAAUUCCGUGUGUAGCAGUGAAAUGCGUAGAUAUACGGAGGAACACCUGAGGCGAAGGCGGCUUACUGGACCAAUACUGACACUGAGACUCGAAAGCGUGGGUAGCAAACAGGAUUAGAAACCCUAGUAGUCC